AAAGGCAGCUCAGUUUAGUUUAGAUUAGUUUAGUUAAGAGGUGCAGCAUGGAAACAUGUCAUUCGGCCCACCGAGUCCACACCGACCAGCGAUCCCCACACAUUAAAGCUAUUCUCCACACACGAGGGACAAUUUACACUCAUACCGACCCAAUUAACCUACAAAACUGCACGUCUUUCGAAUGUGGGAGGAAACCAAAGAUCUCGGAGAAAAGCCCAAGUAGGUCACGGGGAGAAUUUACAAACUCCAUAAAGACAGCACCCGUAGUCGGGAUCGAACCCGGGUCUCUGGCGCUGUAAGGCAUUAGGUCUACCACCACACCACUGUGCUGCACAAAUGAUGCAAUUGAAUCCUGCAAUAUGUGUAGGAUGUUCAUUUGUAUAACCUCCCACCUGAAAGUUGAUUUAGAUGGUCAAACAGGGAGAAAAUGUCCCCACUAUCCAUUCAGCUACCGGGCGCCCAUUUCUCUUGCAAGAAACCAGUACGGGGCAGUUGAAUAUCUCCUCUUAACGAUACGAUCCGAUACGAUACGAUAGAAAUUUAUUCAUCCCCGGAAGGAAAUUUUAUCAAUUUAAAUUUAGUUUGUAUCACUAAUACUGCAUUCAGAUUCACUUCUUCCUCCUAAAUGCAACAUGAACCCUAUAAUUUAAUCACUGAAUGUACUCAGCAGGCUUGAAGUCUACUGAGAGACAGAUCCUACGGUGAAGGUUUUCUCAUUUCCACACCUUGCUGGUUUUAAUGAUGGAACGGAUGUGUAUGCAGGUGAUUGAUAUGAUGGAUGAUAGCUUUAGCUAUCUGAACAAUUUGAUAUUUUCGUAACCAGGACCCUUGUGCAUUGCUCCUCAAAAGCUGAAGUAGGUCAAACAGUCUUAAGUAUCAGCAUUUCUAUUGCACCAUCUCCUGCAAUCCAAUACAUGCCUUUGACAUCGCUGUAAGGUGACACCUUAACUCCCGAUUCACUUCAGCUUUCAAAGUGCAUCCUCCAGCACUUAUUCUGUUGUUCUUACAUAGAAAAUAUGUUAGCAACGUAUGCUUCAUUGCAUUCUCUUGGAAUUCCUCAGUCAUAGCCAAACAUCAUGUUUGACUCGAUACCAAAUUAGUCAGAAAAGCUGCAUUCCAGUUACUAACAGGAUCACUUUCAGAUGAUAGGAAUGCUUUCUACGGCACUGUUACUUUUUCACCCCUGAAAACAAUUUUCUGCACACAUCACAUGUCAUGCUGAUUUUAUGUUUCAUUAAACGCAGAAAGUGGUCUGAAUGACAUUUCCUCUCCUUCACCUGAGUAAGUGGCAGCUCACAUUAGCUGAUGUGCUUCUGCUUACAAGCACACAACUCAGAUUUAAGGGCAUGUGAAGCAAAGCUGAAGAAACUCCAGCAUUUUUGUGUACCCCCUGAAGAAACCUAUACCUGCUAGUUGAUAUUUCACUCGGGCAGCUCAUAAGCUAAUGGAAUCGGCAUAAGGAUCCACUAGUGUUGAGGCUUUCCUCAGUCAGGAUCAGUCUACAUGCCCUUACAAAGAUUUGUCUGGCAACCUCCUAUCAGGGGUUCCUUUACACACAAAUUGUUGUUCAUCAGCCCAUCCAAUCCCUCUGAGCUUGGAUGAUGCAGCGGAAGAGUUGAGACCCGGGUUCAAUCCAGACUACGGGCGCUGUCUGUACUGAGUUUGUACGUUCGCACCGUGACUUGCGUGGGUUUUCUCCAAAAUCUUCGGUGUCCUCCCACACUCCAAACAGGUGAACACAUUGUUUUUUAACAACAGUGCCUGUGUGUACCAAGACUGCAUGAAGAGCACUUCAUUGCACUCAUUCAGUAGGAAGAACAAGCACACCUCUUCAAAAUGUUCUCUCCAAUUCAUGCACCAUGUGAUUAGGGGCAUGUUGUCACUGUUCCUUUAUCAUCACCAUGUCGAUAGUCUGGAACUCUGUACCUAAAAGGCAAAGUAGAAAUAUAUAUAAUAGACGGAGGCAGACCACUCGCAUAUUUUCUGGAACUGUGUAAAGGUAAGGCCAUACUGGAAAAAUGUUAAUGCAGCUGUACAAAAACAUCUUGGUUAUAAAAUCCCAAAUACCUGCCCUGUGAUGUAUCUGGGGCGUAUUAAAGAUGUUGUAAAAAUAGAAGAUACAUAUUUGAUUAAAGUUUUGCUUGCAGCAAGCAAGAAGGCCAUUACCAGGUAGUGGCUUAAUGCAAAAGUCCAAAACAGGAACAGUGGUUAGAAAUUGUGCGAGACAUCAUUAAUAUGGAGAAAUUGACAUAUUCCUUGAGAGUCAAGGAGAAUUCAUUUGAGAAGCUCUGGGAAAAAUGGACCAUUUAUUUGAGCCAUGACACCAAUUAGAUAAAUGCCGAGCUAGAUAUGGGAAGAUUGUGUUACAUAUAACUAGAUGGUAUGUUUGUAUGAAUAUUGAAUGAUCUCCAGAUAACUAAUCAAUGCAAUGUUAUUUUUCUUUUUUUAAUUUGGUAGGUGAACCACAUGGUCUUAUUCCAAUCUUUUAUUUAUUUACUUCUUUUUUUUCCACCCUAUCUACUUAUUUUUUUAUUUUGAUUGCUGUUUUUCUUAUUUUGCUUUAUUUACGGUGAUGGUGUUGCACUGUUUUGUAUAUAUCUCAUAAAAAUCAAUAAAAAUGUAAGUGAAAAAAAAUAUAUCUAUAUUACUAAAAGUCUGUUCUUGACCGGUUUUGGCCAUCUGUGCUGCGAUUUCCUAUGGCCGUCAUUUUUGGCCACCUUGCUCAGAGCCCCCCUCCGCCGCAUGUGUGCCAAGGAUUUUCCCCGUCGAUUAAAAAUGACAGAUAUAUUAAUGUUUUUACAAAAUUCCCCAUUCUCUCUGCUGCCCCCGCUGGCGGCAGGGGGGAGGAACUAUAAAACCAGGAAGUGAUGUGCCACACAGUCUUUUCAAGGGAGGAAGGCAGAGGGUCACGUUUCUCUGAGCUGUGAAUAACAUUGAACACAUGUCUACUCAAACGUAAGUGCCCUUAGUGGUUCUAAAAUGCUUGCAGAAUGUGUCUAUUGGUUUUAAAGCUUGCAAAAAAAAUGUCUAUUGGUUCUAAAGCUUUCAAAAAAUGUCUAUUGGUUCUAAAGCUUGCAAAAAAUGUCUAUUGGUUCUAAAGCUUGCAAAAAAAGUGUCUAUUGGUUCUAAAGCUUGCAAAAAAUGUCUAUUGGUUCUAAAGGUUGCAAAAAAUGUUUAUUGGUUCUAAAGCUU